rnacentral:lncRNA from 1 species
GAAGUUGAGGCAAGAACGACUGAAUUCCUUGGCCCGGUCAACCAGCAGUAAAUUACUUAGGUACCUUACCUGAUAGAUAGUGAUAAGAUUAUUUCUAUAGCUCUGAUUGCUACUGACUCUUUGCUUCACUUACUAAUUCUUCUGUAUUUCUGUGCUGCAGAAAAUCAAAGCGUCCUCAUCGUCCAAUCCUGUGAUGCCUCUGGUCCUGCUAAGAUCUCGUUCUGUGUGGUUUUCCCCUUCGGUCAGCCGAGAUAGCGGUGUUUACUCAUAAAGUUGCGCCUAAAUGAAUCACCUUUUUUGCUUAGAGUUUUCGGAUUGUUCCUUCUGUAAAAUGGUGCAUAUUGUUUCAGUGUGUGAACUAUACUGAACCAUUCAGUGCUUCAUUUUAGGUCUGGCAACCGGUGUAGAUGCACUGGAAGAUGGGGAAGAUCUGCAGUUUGAUCCUGAGGCUUACAAUUAUCUCCGAGGUUUUGGCAUUGGCUGGUCUUGCUUGAGGUAAAGUUUAUCUUCAUUCCCCCCACUUUUUGGGUGCUUACUUCAGGAGUCAGGACAAUAUACGAUCUGUUUUCAAUUACUAAAACCUUCUGUUGCGGUUUUAAUGUUGUGCGCGAUCAACUUGGACUCAUCAGAUCGGAGUUCCCUCAUACAUUCUAUGGUGUUGCAAGAACGCAGGUUGUGUUAGUCUUUACACCUUUAAAACCUAGGCAUUGCUUUUUCGCAAAAAAACUAGGUAUUAUUACUAUCGAAACUUGGAUUGCUUUUGAUGUCUAUCACAUAGUGCUUUUUGUUAUCUAAAUUAGAACUUGUACAUGAAUUAGUUUUGUACUUCUGUUCCUGUUUAUGUGUUUUGGAUUUAAAAAGUGCACCAUUGCUGAUUUUAAGCUCAGAAAAGCCAUGCCAAAAACGUUUUGUGAGCUCUCGCUUGCAUUUAUAUCAUUACUGUUGCCAGAAAUUGUGAUGGAUUGCAAGCGGGUGAAUUUGGACUGGCAAAAGAUUAAUAUAAGCUUAAAUGCGACAACUUUGUGUUUGAUGUACUGUACCUACCAGUAUUCUGACAAUAAAAUUUAGUUUUUCUUUCUGAGUUCGCAACGCACUGUACCUACCUCAGCUACUGAGGAAGAGGAGGUGAACCUUGAUCGGCGUGUUGGCAGAAUACUGGAGGAACUCGAGAUGGUCUCCAUUGAGGAAGGUGAGAAGUAUGAACAGAUGCUUCAUGUUUUGUCGAACAAAGGCUUUGUUUCAUGGCUGUGAAAACCGGAUGUAACUGCUACAAUGUUGCAGGUCGUUUGAGGUUCGAGAGCCUGAUGCCACUGUUCUAGGAACUACUAGAGAACAAGAGCCCGAUGGCUAUACUUGAACCCCUCAUGCAACAGACGUUUAUUAGAAUUGACACACUUACCAUUGUAAGGCCUAGACCAAUUGGUUGGUUCCCUCCCUUGAUGUAGGGAUGAUGCUUGUUGUAUUGCAUUACUGCACUGGCAACCAUUGUACAGGUUGUAGCUUCUCAUGGUUAGCAGAGUGCAGGCAUGAUUUUUUACAUGUGCAGCCUGCACACCUGUCGUCCAGUAGUUUGGCUCGGUUGUAUUAGCAGCAACAAUGAGUGGUGUUGUCGUGUUAUGCCUUAAGCAAAUUGUAUGGUAGUUGUAUCGAUGAUUCG